GGAAGUCGAUGCUUACACAUGCAGUCGAUUCAAGUUACCUUCGGGUAAUGAGGAUGGCGGACGGGUGAGUAACGCGUAAGGAACUUGCCUCUUGGACUGGGACAACUGUUGGGAACGACAGCUAAUACCGGAUAUUAUGAGAUUCUCGCAUGAGAAACUUAUGAAAGCUAUAUGCGCCAAGAGAGAGCCUUGCGUUCCAUUAGCUAGUUGGUGGGGUAACGGCCCACCAAGGCGACGAUGGAUAGCCGGCCUGAGAGGGUGAACGGCCACAAGGGGACUGAGACACGGCCCUUACUCCUACGGGAGGCAGCAGUGGGGAAUAUUGGACAAUGGGCCACAAGCCUAAUCCAGCAAUUCUGUGUGCACGAUGAAGGUCUUCGGAUUGUAAAGUGCUUUCAGUUGGGAAGAAGAAAGUGACGGUACCAACAGAAGAAGCGACGGCUAAAUACGUGCCAGCAGCCGCGGUAAUACGUAUGUCGCAAGCGUUAUCCGGAUUUAUUGGGCGUAAAGCGCGUCUAGGCGGAAAAAUAAGUCUGAUGUUAAAAUGCGGGGCUCAACUCCGUAUUGCGUUGGAAACUGUUUUUCUAGAGUACUGGAGAGGUGGGCGGAACUACAAGUGUAGAGGUGAAAUUCGUAGAUAUUUGUAGGAAUGCCGAUGGAGAAGUCAGCUCACUGGACAGAUACUGACGCUGAAGCGCGAAAGCGUGGGGAGCAAACAGGAUUAGAUACCCUGGUAGUCCACGCCGUAAACGAUGAUCACUAGGUGUUGGGGGUCGAACCUCAGCGCCCAAGCUAACGCGAUAAGUGAUCCGCCUGGGGAGUACGCACGCAAGUGUGAAACUCAAAGGAAUUGACGGGGACCCGCACAAGCGGUGGAGCAUGUGGUUUAAUUCGACGCAACGCGAGAAACCUUACCAGCGUUUGACAUCCCUAAGAAGUUUCUAGAGAUAGAUUCGUGCCGGCUUGCCGGAACUUAGUGACAGGUGGUGCAUGGCUGUCGUCAGCUCGUGUCGUGAAGGUGUUUGGGUUAAGUCCCGCAACGAGCGCAACCCCCUAUGGUAUGUUGCUACCCUUUAAUUUGAGCACUCCUGGCGAUACUGGCCUGCGAUGAAGCAGGAGGAAAAGGGGGGGGGGAUGAACGCUCCAGUUGCUUCAGGGCCGCCUUAUAAGACUGGGGGUGACAACCGUGGUUACAAUGGGGGGCUACAUGAGAGGGUUUUCCACACCACCCAAGGGUGAGAAGAUAUUCUUCUUA
rnacentral:rRNA from 1 species